GUUUUAAUAAUUUAAUUUUAAAAUAUUGGUCUUGUAAACCAAAAAUAAAGCAUUUUUUAAAACA
rnacentral:tRNA from 1 species